rnacentral:lncRNA from 1 species
AGGCUGAGGCAGGAGAAUCGCUAGAACCCGGAAGGCAGAGGUUGCAGUGAGCCGAGAUCAGGCCCCUGCACUCCAGCCUGGGCGACAGAGCAGGACUCCUUCUCCAACACCACCACCAACGACCUGGAAGCAGUUGAAUGUUUUGGGAAUACUGGCCUUUUCCACAUUCAUCAAAGACAUGGCAGUGGUGAGUAUGACUCAUAUUACACAUCUGGAAUUAUUUGGGGCGUGAAUGAGUCGUUUUUCCGAGUUGGGGCUGGCACAGCAUCUUUUACUAACUGCACAGUAGCCAAGUCAAUGGUUCUCAGAGAUUGCAGGUUAAAGAACCCAAAUCAUCUUCAGAAGAGCUGAGCCUCAGCCUAGCUGUGAGGCACUGACUACAGGGCGUGGAAGGCCCAGUUCCUUCCCUGGCAGGCGGUCAGGCAGGGCCAACACUAACGCGGUGGAGCCGCUGGGGAGGCCCUGGGGAGGACAGACAGGAGGCUGGGCUCUACCCAGCCCCUCUGACCACAGCAGCCCAAGUGUCCUGGGCUUCUCAGGACUCAGCACUGAACCUGCCAGGCUGCCCCAGCAGGACGUGGAAGGGGGCCCAGGAGAAGGGUGAGGCCUCCCUAGUGCCCUGGCCUCACUCUCCUACCCAGCGGGACAGGACAGGACUCAACUGGGUCCCACCUGGGCCAACAACAAGGACGUCCCUGGGCACACAGGAACACAAUCUGGCCAGCAAUGCGGAGUGGCAGCUUAGGGACAAUGCAUGUGGCAUUGCUGGAAACACAUCACCAAAGACCACCCAGAGAUGUGACCAGGGAGCCCAGGACCUAACUUCACUUUAACUUCAGUUUUUUUGUUUUGAGAUGGAAUCUCACACUGUCGCCCAGGCUGGAGGGCAGUGGAGC